rnacentral:rRNA from 1 species
ACGAUAACGGCGUCGAGCGGCGGACGGGUGAGUAAUGCCUAGGAAAUUGCCCUGAUGUGGGGGAUAACCAUUGGAAACGAUGGCUAAUACCGCAUGAUGCCUACGGGCCAAAGAGGGGGACCUUCGGGCCUCUCGCGUCAGGAUAUGCCUAGGUGGGAUUAGCUAGUUGGUGAGGUAAGGGCUCACCAAGGCGACGAUCCCUAGCUGGUCUGAGAGGAUGAUCAGCCACACUGGAACUGAGACACGGUCCAGACUCCUACGGGAGGCAGCAGUGGGGAAUAUUGCACAAUGGGCGCAAGCCUGAUGCAGCCAUGCCGCGUGUGUGAAGAAGGCCUUCGGGUUGUAAAGCACUUUCAGUCGUGAGGAAGGUAGUGUAGUUAAUAGCUGCAUUAUUUGACGUUAGCGACAGAAGAAGCACCGGCUAACUCCGUGCCAGCAGCCGCGGUAAUACGGAGGGUGCGAGCGUUAAUCGGAAUUACUGGGCGUAAAGCGCAUGCAGGUGGUUUGUUAAGUCAGAUGUGAAAGCCCGGGGCUCAACCUCGGAAUUGCAUUUGAAACUGGCAGACUAGAGUACUGUAGAGGGGGGUAGAAUUUCAGGUGUAGCGGUGAAAUGCGUAGAGAUCUGAAGGAAUACCGGUGGCGAAGGCGGCCCCCUGGACAGAUACUGACACUCAGAUGCGAAAGCGUGGGGAGCAAACAGGAUUAGAUACCCUGGUAGUCCACGCCGUAAACGAUGUCUACUUGGAGGUUGUGGCCUUGAGCCGUGGCUUUCGGAGCUAACGCGUUAAGUAGACCGCCUGGGGAGUACGGUCGCAAGAUUAAAACUCAAAUGAAUUGACGGGGGCCCGCACAAGCGGUGGAGCAUGUGGUUUAAUUCGAUGCAACGCGAAGAACCUUACCUACUCUUGACAUCCAGAGAACUUUCCAGAGAUGGAUUGGUGCCUUCGGGAACUCUGAGACAGGUGCUGCAUGGCUGUCGUCAGCUCGUGUUGUGAAAUGUUGGGUUAAGUCCCGCAACGAGCGCAACCCUUAUCCUUGUUUGCCAGCGAGUAAUGUCGGGAACUCCAGGGAGACUGCCGGUGAUAAACCGGAGGAAGGUGGGGACGACGUCAAGUCAUCAUGGCCCUUACGAGUAGGGCUACACACGUGCUACAAUGGCGCAUACAGAGGGC